rnacentral:lncRNA from 1 species
UUGGAAAAAUGGAGGUUGGAAGAAAAUGGAGAUUUUGGGGUUUUACCUCUAAAAAAAAUGGAGGUUGUGGGAUUUGCUUGGAAAAAAAAAUGGAGGUUGGACAAAAAAUGGAGGUUUUGGGGUUUUUCCUUGGAAAAAUGGAGGUUGGAAGAAAAUGGAGGUUGGACAAAAAAUGGAGGUUGGACAAAAAAUGGAGGUUCUGGGGUUUUCCUUGGAAAAAUGGAGGUUGGAAGAAAUGGAGGUUGGGAAAAAAAAUGGAGGUUUUGGGGUUUUUUUUUGGAAAAAAUGGAGGUUAGAAAAAAUAGAGGUUUUGGGAAUUUUCCUAGGAAAAAAAAUGGAGGUUUUGGGGUUUGCUUGGAAAAAAAAAAUGGAGGUUUUCCUUGGAAAAAUGGAGGUUGGAAAAAAUGGAGAUUGGAAGAAAUUGAGGCUGGAAAAAAAUGGAGGUUUGGGGGGUUUUCCUUGGAAAAAUUGGAGGUUUUGGGGGUUAUUUUGAAAAAUGGAGGUUUUGGGGUUUUUCCUUGGAAAAAAAGGGAGGUUGGAAAAAAAUGGAGAAUUUGGGACUUUCCUUGGAAAAAAUGGAGGUUGGACAAAAAAUGGAGGGUUUGGGGGUUUCCUUGGAGAAAAAUGGAGGUUGGAAAAAAUGGAGGGUUUGGGGUUCACCUCAAAAAAAAAAAAAUGGAGGUUUUGGGGUUUGCUUGGAAAAAAAUGGAGGUUUUGGGGGUUUAACUAAAAAAAAAAUGGAGGUUUUGGGGUUUUUCUUGGAAAAAAUGGAGCUUUUGUGGUUUUCCCUUGGAAAAAUGGAGGUUUUGUGGUUUUCCCUUGGAAAAUUGAAGGGUUUGGGGUUUUCCUUGGAAAAAUGGAGGUUUUGGGGUUUUCCUUGGAAAAAUGGAGGUUUUGGAGUUUUCCUUGAAAAAAAAUGGAGGUUUUGGGGUUUUUCUUGGAGAAAAUUGAGGUUUUGAGGUUUUCCUUGGAAAAAAUGGAGGUUUUGGGGUCUCCUUGGGAAAAAAUGGAGGUUGGAAAAAAAAAGGAGGUUUUGGGGUUUUCCUUGGAAAAAGUUGGAGGUUUUGGUGAUUCCCAAGGAAAAAAUGGAAGUUUUGGGAUUUCCUUGGAAAAAAAUGGAGGUUUUGUGGUUUUCCCUUGGAAAACUGGAGGUUUUGGAGUUUUCCUUGGAAAAAUGGAGAUUUUGGGGUUUUCCUUGGAAAAAAUGGAGGUUUUGGGGAUUCCCAAGGAAAAAAUGGAGGUUUUGGGUUUUUCCUUGGAAAACUGGAGGUUUUGUGGGAAGGGUGUGGAUCCGUCGGGAUCCACCCUGGAAUGGCCGCGGGACGGG